GGCGCAGAUUCAGUGGGCCAAAGGGCCUGUUUCCGUCCUGUAUCUCAAAACUAAACUAAACUAAAGUUCACUUGGCACCCACACCUUCUGGCGUAUUAAAGGAGUAUCUAAAGGGGAAUUACUAGAUUCAUGAUAAAUGAGUUCUGAUACACAUAUUAUUACUAUAUAAUCCAAGUCAACAGGGUCAACCAAGUCCUGUCACAGGUAGCUUAUUUAAUUGCUUGCUUUUCCUCAUCUAAUGCACAAAUUCCAGUUAGUAAAUAAUUUGUUUUAUUAACUUUGGGUUUAUUAUUAUUUGCUAUGUUUGACAAUGGGACAUCCACUUUAAAAACCUAAUCUUUGUCUUAAAAUUUAAAGCAAAUUUAAAACAAAUUUAAAGCAUUUAAUUUUAACGGUGGUACAGCUGGUAGAGCUGCAGCCUCACGGAACCAGAGAUCCCGAUGCUGACCUCGGACUAUCUGUGUGGAGUUUGCGUGUUCUCCCUAUGACCGCGUAGGUUUCUCCCAGGUGCUCCGGUUUCCUCGCACAUCCCAUUAGCCCCUGUAAAAUGGCCUCUCAUGUGUAGGGAUGAGAAAGUGGAAUAACAGAACUAGUAUGAGUGGGUGUUCAAUAAUUGGUCUGGACUCGAUGGGCCGAAGGGCCUGUUUACACAUUGUAUCUGCAAACGACACUAAGCUAAAGCCUUCCAUUUUUUUUAACGUUACUUUAAUGCUCUGGCCUCUAGUUACUGGUCCACGCACAGUGAAAAAGUUCUCCCUAAGUUACUGUAUCAAAACCCCUCUGAACCCCUCAGCAGUUCAGAACUGCUCUUAGAUCUGUCAUACUCUGAGCAGAAUUAGAUUCUCCACGGAACUAUAGUUCCCUGUCCUGUUAUCGUUCCGGCAAACCCCUCCUUUACCCUUUUCCAAACCUUGACAUUGUCUUAAUUGAAGCUCAUGCAAGGUUAUAGUUGUGAGAGAAAUUGCCCAUUCUCCGAAGUAUGGGCACUUUCUGCUCCGCACUUGCAUCCAUUAGGAACCAGUUCAAACUCAUUAGACCAUUGAUCAUUAUUAAAUUAAUGACUUUCUAUCAAAUCCCAGCACCCAGUUGUGAAAGGACAGUAUUUAAACGCCGCUAUGCCAGUCUAUUCACCCUAUUAAGCAGCUCGUGGGCUAUUAUGUUUGAUGGACCUGUAACAGUUCAAUAUUUUUAUGGAGGUUUGUUUUUAGAAUUAAUUUAAAUGAGCAAUAAUCUUUAUUGCCGAUCCCAUAAGUGGGCACUUUUUCAAUUUUUUAAAAUAAUAAACUCUUUUACUUGUCGUGUUACUGAUAGAAUAGCAAUAUUAACAGUUCUACAGCUGCCACUAAUUAAGAAAUACUGUUCCAUUGGAGCCUAUUAAAUGGAGCACAGUAAUGUGUUUUAAUUAAUUAAUUUCGCUGUUUUAAAAAGAUGGGCCUUGCAAAGUAAUGUCCAAGAGAACACUAAUGCACAUAAGCGGCCACAUAAAAAUAACUCCAUUCCCACGAAUGACAGGGUAUGAAUGAGGUUAUUGUUUGUAAACUGUAGAUGGGAGCAAGACUGGCAGGGGACACAACGCAAUCAGGAAAUAUGAAGUGGUUAAAAUAAAAACAGACUUUGCUGUAAAUGUCCCAAACGUCAAGCUGAUUACACAGCCCUAAUGUGCUUUUUUAAAAAAGAAGACAUAUUCCAAGCAGCAGAUCAUUUUUAAUUCCCUUAAAGACCCAACAGUUGGGCUUAAUGGAUACUCAGGCAUGUUCACUCAUUUAUUUAGCGAACGUCUCAGGAUAUGAAAUUUCUGCAGAGAAAUUUAACCAGAUAUUUGCCCUUGCACCAAUGAUAUGUCUAAACGAAGCAAGAAAAUGGAGAGAUGAUGAGUUCAACCGACUCAAAACAAAAUGGAUUUCCCGGCAAAGAAUUGUGUAGAGUGUGCGAGAACAGCUCGUUGUGCCAAUCAACCCAUGUCGACAUUUAUGGUUCGCUUCAGCUUCCUUUCACACUUUCUAACCUAUUUUACUCCAAACCUUCUACUCCCUACCUCUUCAUAUUCCUAACCAGGCAUUAACGGCUUCACAAUUGGUCACCUCAACCAUUGCUUGUACUGCUGAGUCGAGCGAUGCAGGAUGAAAGGCGAUGGCUCGGGCAGCAAUGCUCGGAUGCAGGCGAUCCUUACGUUACGGACGGGGGUGCGCUCCCAGUAAACCGUCCGUGACACGGUUUUCCAUGAAGCACAUUAUCUGCACCAAGAAACACGAGCUGAAAAUAAAAUAAAAAUGUUCACA